AAAAUCUGACAUAAUUCAUAGAUGAACCCCAGACUGAUAGCAGCACACAAUUAACAGUUGUUAAAUUAAUAAGGGCCAUCAUUGCCUUGGAAUAGUAUUCUACAACAAGGCUGGAAGCUAGCAGCAGCGCAACAUAUCCGGAGUUGUUCGUAAUUGAAGCUGAAACUAAGAUGCAGUACAACAUCUCGACCAAAAUAAAACCCACAACCAGCAGCUCAGCGCAGCCGAUUGCAAAAGGGACUAAAACUGAGUUGCAGUACAUCAUCUAAAACCAAAAUACACCCGGACAGGCUGGCAAGGAACCAGACAGCCACCAGACGUGCUGCAGCAUUGCUCCUUGCUUCCGCUUGCAGAUUAUCCAUCUCAUCAUGUAUUUCUUCUAUAGCUUCACCUGCAAUUCCCAUCAGUGCCUUGUCAACGUGUUCGGUGUCCGGCAUAUGAAUGUUGAACAGGGCUUCCAAAGUCGCCCCUACCUCCUUAGAUAAUGGUUUCUGGAACCAAGCCUGAAAGUCCUGGAAAGCAUUAUCAAAAUUAGGAGUUCCGUCAUUGGCCAAGAGGCCAAGUUUGUGACAGAGGUUGCAUUGUGCCCGCUGCAUGAUCUGCAUAUGAGGGCCAUUAGCGAGUCUAGCACUACGAGGUACCGCAGAGUUGUGACAUGCACUUCUCCUGAUCUAUUCGAAUUUAAGAAAAUAGCAGCAGCAUCCGCGUACAGAUUCACUCUCCUUGCAGAAUGAGAGAGAGGAUAGGGGUAAGGGCACUCUCUCGAGAUGCCAUGGCGAACAAUUUCUGCAUGGGGUCGAUGGAAAGAAUGAAAAGCAAAUGAGAGAGAGAGAGGUUCUCCUUGUCUCAAACCCCAGCCAUGGUUGAAAAAACUGCCUAAGGACUGCGAAGCUGGCUGUUCUGAGGAGAAUUGAAACCCAGGCUUUCCAUCUAGCACCGAAACCCAACUGAUGCAACACCUCAAGCAGAUAAUCUCAUCUAGCACUAUCAAAGGCUUUGGCAAUAUUCAGCUUCAGUCGUCAGGACGAUGUGUGGGAGAAGAUGAGACAGGGGAAGAGGGGAAAAAAGAAAAUAAAUAAAUUGUAUUUUGAUCGAUAGGUCAUACAUACUGAGGGAGAGUACUGAUGAUCUGCUAGAGCAUGUCUUUCAAAUAGUAACAAAAUCAGUAUUGGUGCAUGGCCACUAAUAUCGUCACAUAAACUUGGUCAGUAGAGAAAAACCGCCUCACAAUAUUAUAUUAAGAAAAGGCUUAAUCGUAACCUGAACCGAGAAAGAUCACAAAAGAUAACCUCACAUUGAAGAUGAAUUAUUGGUGAGUUGUUGAAGAUGCUCUUAACAGUAGUAUAGUAGACAAUGGUACGCCAACGCUCCUGGCUUGCAAGCUAGCCACACAGCUUCCUCACAUCCAUGGGUGAAACCAAUGGCGCGGGGAGCCGUCGAAGGCAAUGGCCGUGAGCUUCCGCGACGUGGCCUCCGUCGGAUGGACGAGGUCCCAGAACACGUGGUUCGUCCCCGCGCUCACCCGCCCGCACACGCACAGAUGGAGAAUUUUUUAUGGAUGGAAAAAACUAGAGAUGUAAGUUUCUAUAUAUCAAGCUGAAGCAAAGAUACACACGCAUCGCAUAUAUCAAUCGAAUUUGUUGAAUGGAAUAUGAUUUGUUUCCCUUUCUGUGAGUCGUCAGAUCACCUGUUCGCUUGUUGCUUCGAUUCUGGUGUCGACGUCUCCCGUCUCCGUGCGUAGUGUCGCCGAG
rnacentral:lncRNA from 1 species